GCGAUGGAAGCCGUUAGGGCGUGGCGGAACCGGAAGGCGGCCUAGGGACGCACGCAGGCUCGGCUGUCUCUUUAGGCCACGGAGCUGCGUAGAUCCGGAACCCUGGGCGACUGAUCUGUCCCCAUUGGGCGAGACCUACCUAGACAAAGGCCUUAACAUACCGACAAAGGCCUUAAGGGGCCUGGGAGGCAUGAACCUUCAGAGCCCUGAGCUGCCUUGUAAGAAGUCUAGCUAGCAAUGCCACCAUGCUGGAGAGAUGAUGAGGGAAAACUACAUACAGACACAAACAGAGUGAGACACUCAAGAAGCCCUAGUUGUGGAAUACAGCAGUGCUAUGGAGGCUUGACAUAACCAUCUACUUUUCCAGAAACCCACAUUGUCUAAGGUGAUAACAGAGGAAAUACCUGCCUGAUGCUCUCAAUGUCAUCAGUUAAACUGAAGGCACAACAGAAAGGAUUUGUCAAGUCUCACUCUAUCGCCCAGGCUGGAGUGCAGUGGUGUGAUCUCAGCUCACCGGCUCACUGCAACCUCUGCCUCCCGGGUUCAAGUGAUUUUCCUGCCUCAGUCUCCUGAGUAGCUGGGACUACAGGUGUGUGCCACAUGCCCAGCUAAUUUUUGUAUUUUUAGUAGUGACAGGGUUUUACCAUGUUGGCCAUGCUGGUCUCAAACUCCUGACCUCAGGUGAUCCACCCACCUCAGCCUCCCAAAGUGCUGGGAUUACAGGCGUGAGCCACCAUGCCUGGCCGAGUGUGAAAUGUUAAUACAUAUUAUAUAAUAAAUGUAUUAUGUGAUCCCACUGUAAAA
rnacentral:lncRNA from 1 species